GCUCCAAUCCUGGAAAGGUUAGUGACAAGAAUACCCAAAGGAAUUUUUUUACAAUUAUCCUUAUAUGCUCAAUACACAAGGUAAUAUUGCAAAUAAUUAAAAGCUCAUGUUACAAUCUAAUCAGUGCUUUAUUUUAGGACACUAAGCUUGUCCUUGGGAAACCAUCAAUUUAUGUCAGUGAAGUGGUUUCCCCUCCAACGCUGACCUAUA
rnacentral:lncRNA from 1 species